UCGUCACCACCAUCAAGAUGGUGCUACCACAGAGGUGCAAACGGCAAGUGGAUCUCGUCGCCUUUGGGGAGCUGUGGCUGUGCCCCUCAAAGUGAAUUUGGAGGUUCUACAUUC
rnacentral:snoRNA from 1 species